rnacentral:rRNA from 1 species
GUGGGGAAUAUUGGACAAUGGGCGAAAGCCUGAUCCAGCCAUGCCGCGUGUGUGAAGAAGGUCUUCGGAUUGUAAAGCACCUUAAGUUGGGAGGAAGGGCAGUAAGUUAAUACCUUGCUGUUUUGACGUUACCGACAGAAUAAGCACCGGCUAACUUCGUGCCAGCAGCCGCGGUAAUACGAAGGGUGCAAGCGUUAAUCGGAAUUACUGGGCGUAAAGCGCGCGUAGGUGGUUUUGUAAGUUGGAGGUGAAAUCCCCGGGCUCAACCUGGGAACUGCCUCCAAAACUGCAUGACUAGAGUACGGUAGAGGGUAGUGGAAUUUCCUGUGUAGCGGUGAAAUGCGUAGAUAUAGGAAGGAACACCAGUGGCGAAGGCGACUACCUGGACUGAUACUGACACUGAGGUGCGAAAGCGUGGGGAGCAAACAGGAUUAGAAACCCGGGUAGUCC